rnacentral:tRNA from 1 species
GCCUGACUGGCUCAGUUAGUAGAGCAUGAGACUCUUGAUCUCAGGGUCAUGAGUUCAAGCCCCAGUUGAGCC